ACUCAAAUGAAUUGACGGGGGCCCGCACAAGCGGUGGAGCAUGUGGCUUAAUUCGAGGCAACGCGAAGAACCUUACCUAGAUUUGACAUAUACAGGACAGUCGUGGAAACACGAUCUCCCGCAAGGGUCUGUAUACAGGUGCUGCAUGGCUGUCGUCAGCUCGUGCCGUGAGGUGUUCGGUUAAGUCCGGCAACGAGCGCAACCCAUGUUAUUAGUUGCUACCAGGUAAUGCUGAGCACUCUAAUGAGACUGCCUGUGUUAAGCAGGAGGAAGGCGUGGAUGACGUCAAGUCCGUAUGGCCUUUAUAUUUAGGGCUGCACACGUGCUACAAUGGAUAAUACAGAGGGAAGCAAUAUCGCGAGAUGGAGCUGAUCCGUAAAGUUAUCCUUAGUUCAGAUUGCAGUCUGCAACUCGACUGCAUGAAGCCGGAAUCGCUAGUAAAGGCGUAUCAGCCACGACGCCUUGAAUACGUUCCCGGGCCUUGUACACACCGCCCGU
rnacentral:rRNA from 1 species